GUGUCGAUGGUUCAGCGGCAGAAUGCUCGCAUGCAACGCGGGCGGGCUGCGUUCAUAUCCCGGCCCAUGCA